rnacentral:rRNA from 1 species
UACGGGGGGGGCAAGCGUUGUUCGGAAUUAUUGGGCGUAAAGAGCUUGUAGGCGGUUUGUCGCGUCUGCUGUGAAAAUCCGGGGCUCAACCCCGGACUUGCAGUGGGUACGGGCAGACUAGAGUGUGGUAGGGGAGACUGGAAUUCCUGGUGUAGCGGUGAAAUGCGCAGAUAUCAGGAGGAACACCGAUGGCGAAGGCAGGUCUCUGGGCCACUACUGACGCUGAGAAGCGAAAGCAUGGGGAGCGAACAGG